rnacentral:rRNA from 1 species
CGCGUCCGUCCCGCCGCCCCCGCCUGCNUACGGGAGGCAGCAGUGGUGAAUAUUGCACAAUGGGNGAAAGCCUGAUGCAGCAACGCCGCGUGAACGAUGAAGGUCUUUGGAUNGUAAAGUUCUGUUGCAGGGGAAGAUAAUGACGGUACCCUGUGGGGAAGCCCCGGCUAAAUACGUGCCCGCAGCCGCGGUAAUACGUAGGGGGCUAGCUUUAUCCGGAUUUACUGGGGGUAAAGGGUGUGUAGGUGGUCCUUUAAGUCGGGGGUUAAAGGGUACGGCUCAACCGUAGUAAGCCGCCGAAACUGGAGGACUUGAGUGCAGGAGAGGAAAGUGGAAUUCCCAGUGUAGCGGUGAAAUGCGUAGAUAUUGGGAGGAACACCAGUAGAGAAGGCGGCUUUUUGGGCUGCAAAUGACACUGAGGCAAGAAAGCGUGGGUAGCAAACAGGAUUAGAUACCCUGGUAGUCCCCGCUGUAAACGAUGAGUNCUUGAAUCGGGU